CACGUGUGCACACAACCAAGCAGACACGGACUGUAAACACGAGUGAGACAGAAGAAGAUAGUUUUAUACCGGAGAGGAACGUCUGAGCAGCCGUGUUUGUAAUGAUAAACUAGCAAAGCUCUUAAGUCUCACUUAUUGGGCCUGAUGUUAGUCACUGAUGUUCGUGUGUGUGAGCCACGGCAGACUCCACUUCCUCCUGUGCCAUGCUAUUGUUAGCUUCUCAAACACGGGAGCUCUCUGAAUAGAUACUUUGAAACCAUCAGCCACUGGAAAGUGAUGAAGAUGCCAGAAAAACAAAUGAGCUGAGAGUAGAAACUUCAACAAUAAGCCAUUGAUGAAGAUGACAGCCAAACAGAAGAGCAGAGAGCAGAAACUUUUAAUGAAGCACAGGUGAGACGAAACUACAACCAUUACUCUUUUUCUGUCUCUGAAACUACACAACCUUCACAGUCUUAUCUCUUCUUUUUCUGAUGUUUUUGAUGACUAAUGGACUUUUGUUCUUCCUCUAUGGUCCAUCAUGUUCACAAAAGAGCUCUCAGAGCAAUGAUGACGCUGGCAGCCAAACAGAAGUGCAAAGAGCAGACCUUUCCACAUUGGAACAGAAAGAACUUCAGCAUAUUGCUCACCUGUGGAACACCCACAUCAUUCAGAGAAGCAGAAAUGCAGUUGCACCUAGUGGCCGGCCUCACAUGAUGUACAUGCUUCCUCAGCUUUUUGGGGAAAGGACCAUCUCAAACAUGCAUCUGUGCAAGCAGUACAAACAUGCAGAGCACAAUGCAUACAACGAGGACCUUACCCAUGUGAUGAGACUGCCAUCCACUGGAAGGAUAAGGUCCCACGUGGUCAGCCGAUGUGGGCGUCGUUUGGAUUUUACCGAUGCCCGCCCCCCAAGCAAAGGCCACAGCCCCCCCACCAGCAUCCCGGGCUGACAGGAGACUCCCACGCCAAACCCAACGGGAGAGCAGGCGCAGGGCGAAGGUGGAGGAGGGGGGGGGGACGAGACAGGGGACAGAGAGCAAGAGGAAAGAGUGGCAGAGAAACAUGCAGGCCCCCAGCCCCAAGGGCCACCCAGACGUGGACGGAGGAGGCAGGAGAGUAACACCAAACCACCCAGGGACCACGAGAGCACCCGAAAGGGACGCCCGCCCGCGCAGAGGCACCCAACACACCCCAGCAAGCCACCCAGGUCAAGGCCACCCCACAAGCCCAUGGAGGUCCAGGACUACAGUUAGAUCAGUGUGUUAGUAAAGAGUGGUGCUGGCAGUCGCUUGCAGGCUAGAUCAUCAGGCUAAAAACGAAAAAUCAAGAUUCAAUGUAAUUAGACCUGUAUAUAUUGUUGAAACAACAACAAAAAGAGGCUUUAAAACUGUAAGUCUGUACCGUACCACACAAUGUUUUCAUCUGGUGGCUCUGUUUAGGGAAAAAGAACUACGCUUGUCACGCUAUUGUCGUCAGGUCCGCUCAUCGUUUGAGUGGUUUGCGUGUUUGUCCCGCUCCGCUCAGCCACCAGAACUCAAUCGUCUGGUGAGCACUUCCAGAUUAAUCACCUUUAUGAAAAAUACAAGGAGAUUAAGAUAGAUUCCAGGCUAGCCCACUCAUGUCUUUUGCACCAAGGCGAGGCAAAUUUAUUUGUAUAGCGCAUUUCAUACACAAGGCAACUCAAUGGGCUUUACAUGAUCAAAAAGUGCAACAAGAAACAUUCAACAGCUUAAAAUCAAUAAGAACAUUAAAGUCAGCAAAAAAUAAAAAUAAUCAAUAAACAUAUUACA
ensembl:lncRNA